rnacentral:rRNA from 1 species
CGUGCUUAACACAUGCAAGUCGAACGAAAAGAGGGGAAGAGCUUGCNCUUUUUCAGAAUUGAGUGGCAAACGGGUGAGUAACACGUAACAACCUGCCUUCAGGAUGGGGACAACAGACGGAAACGACUGCUAAUACCGAAUAAGUUCCAAGAGCCGCAUGGCCCAUGGAGAAAAGGUGGCCUCUACCUGUAAGCUAUCGCCUGAAGAGGGGUUUGCGUCUGAUUAGCUGGUUGGAGGGGUAACGGCCCACCAAGGCGACGAUCAGUAGCCGGUCUGAGAGGAUGAACGGCCACACUGGAACUGAGACACGGUCCAGACUCCUACGGGAGGCAGCAGUGGGGAAUCUUCCGCAAUGGGCGAAAGCCUGACGGAGCAACGCCGCGUGAGUGAUGACGGCCUUCGGGUUGUAAAACUCUGUGAUCCGGGACGAAAAGGCAGAGUGCGAAGAACAAACUGCAUUGACGGUACCGGAAAAGCAAGCCACGGCUAACUACGUG